rnacentral:rRNA from 1 species
GACGAACGCUGGCGGCGUGCCUAAUACAUGCAAGUUGAGCGCUGAAGGUUGGUACUUGUACCAACUGGAUGAGCAGCGAACGGGUGAGUAACGCGUGGGGAAUCUGCCUUUGAGCGGGGGACAACAUUUGGAAACGAAUGCUAAUACCGCAUAAAAACUUUAAACACAAGUUUUAAGUUUGAAGGAUGCAAUUGCAUCACUCAAAGAUGAUCCCGCGUUGUAUUAGCUAGUUGGUGAGGUAAAGGCUCACCAAGGCGAUGAUACAUAGCCGACCUGAGAGGGUGAUCGGCCACAUUGGGACUGAGACACGGCCCAAACUCCUACGGGAGGCAGCAGUAGGGAAUCUUCGGCAAUGGACGAAAGGCUGACCGAGCAACGCCGCGUGAGUGAAGAAGGGUUUCGGAUCGUAAAACUCGGUUGGUAGAGAAGAACGUUGGUGAGAGUGGAAAGCUCAUCAAGUGACGGUAACUACCCAGAAAGGGACGGCUAACUACGUG